rnacentral:rRNA from 1 species
AGCGAACGCUGGCGGCAGGCCUAACACAUGCAAGUCGAACGAACCUUUCGGGGUUAGUGGCGGACGGGUGAGUAACACGUGGGAACGUGCCUUUAGGUUCGGAAUCACUCAGUGAAACUUGUGCUCAUACCGCAUGUGCCCUUCGGGGGUAAGAUUUAUCGCCUUUAGAUCGGCGCGCGUCUGUUUAGCUAGUUGGUUGAGGUAAUGGCUCUGCAAGGCUACGUUCAGUAGCUGUGCGGUGAGGAUGAUCAGCCACAUUGGGGAUGAGACACGGACCAAAAUGCGACGGGGGGCAGGAGAGGGGAGUAUUGCGCGAUGGGGGAAAGCGUAACGAAGCCAUGCGGGGUAAAAGAUGAAGGUCUUAGGAUUGUAAAAUUGUUUCACAGGGGACGAGAAUGACGGUACCGGGAGAAGAAGCCCCGGCUAACUUCGUG